UGACUUGUUUGGUAAAGUUGGGCUUCACUGCUACAAUCUGCAAAAUCGGACAAACCUUGAAUAUUUCUGCCUAGACGACAAGGAGUAUCCUCCGCUUGUAAAAUUUUAUGCAAGGGAUCCAACUCGAGAGUUUUCCAUUUACGAGUUUUCCAUUUGCGAGUUCUUAACAAGGGUGUUUGAGUCUACGAAAGAUGGCUGCUGCUUGAGUUUCAUUACAACCCAAUGCACAUUAUUGCCAGAGAAG